rnacentral:rRNA from 1 species
AUUGAACGCUGGCGGCAGGCCUAACACAUGCAAGUCGAACGAGUGGCGGACGGGUGAGUAAUGUCUGGGAAACUGCCUGAUGGAGGGGGAUAACUACUGGAAACGGUAGCUAAUACCGCAUACCAGCCGAUGUGCCCAGAUGGGAUUAGCUGGGUGGUGGGGUAACGGCUCACAAAGGAGACGAUCCCUAGCUGGUCUGAGAGGAUGACCAGCCCCACUGGAACUGAGACACGGUCCAGAAUCGUACGGGUGGCAGCGUGGGGUAAUAUUGCACAAUGGGCGCAAGCCUGAUGGAGCCAUGCCGCGUGUAUGAUGAAGGCCUUCGGGUUGGAAAGUACUUUCAGCGGGGAGGCGUUACCCGCAGAAGAGGCACCGGCUGACUCCGUGCCAGCAGCCGCGGUAAAAC